GUAUUCAGUGAGGUUGCACUUGUUCCUGUAAAAAGGAAUAGUUUCGUUCAGGAUUUGAAAUUUUCCUAAGUUCUCUGUUUGGUGACAUGUAUAAACAGAGGUAGACUAUAAGGUUCCACCAUUCUUGAUUGAAAAUAGGGAACGUAACAUCAUCUAAUUUCAACCAAAUUUAUAUAUAUUUUUUUGAAGUCUAUCUAGAUAUUAUAUUUAUCGAAUUGAAUAUGUGAUUGGAUGUAAUCAUUGGAUAUUCUAAACCUUUCUAAUCAAUGGUAAUCACUCCUACUAUAAGAACUGAUUCCAAACCCCUGAUGAAGUCCUAACGGACGAAACGCGUUGGGUUUUGCAACGUCUGGUUAACAAAGUCCUUAUCACAAACAUCUGGUUGGAGAUACAUCCAUUUCGAGUUCUGACUGUGAUCACCUGGCUGUAAAAUCCUCACAUCCAACUGUAAUUUAUGUAUAAGAUUGUAAUAUUGUUUUAUAUGAAUUUUUAGAAGGUUGUGUCAAUAACAAACGCUUAGGAUAAAUAUCGUUUGUUUCUGUACAAUAAAAACUUUUAAUUAUUGUCAUACAAAAGGCA